GUUCUUUUUAAAGAGGGACUGACAUUUUGUCUAGCCUCUGAGUAAAUUUUUACAAGAUUGCUUAAUGGGUUACUCCAUGACUAGGUCUGCUUUAAGAAGUGCUCAUUAAAGGGACACUAUAGGCACCCAUACCACUUCAUCUCAUUGAUGUGGUCUGGAUGCAUAGUCAUUUUAGUCCUGCAGCUGCAAACAUUGCAGAUUCAGCCAAACGGCAAUUGAUUAAUUUGCAGGAUUAAGUCUG